rnacentral:rRNA from 2 species
GACCUCGGAUCAGGUAGGGAUACCCGCUGAACUUAAGCAUAUCAAUAAGCGGAGGG